AUUGAACGCUGGCGGCAGGCCUAACACAUGCAAGUCGAGCGAGCGGCGGAAGGGUGAGUAAUGUAUGGGGAUCUGCCCGAUAGAGGGGGAUAACUACUGGAAACGUUGGCUACUACCGCAUACUAUCGGAUGAACCCAUAUGGGAUUAGCUAGUAGGUGGGGUAAAGGCUCACAUAGGCGACGAUCUCUAGCUGGUCUGAGAGGAUGAUCAGCCACACUGGGACUGUGACACGGCCCAGACUCCUACGGGAGGCAGCAUUGGGGAAUAUUGCACAAUGGGCGCAAGCCUGAUGCAGCCAUGCCGCGUGUAUGAAGAAGGCCUUAGGGUUGUAAAGUACUUUCAGCGGGGAGGCGUUACCCGCAGAAGAAGCACCGGCUAACUCCGUGCCAGCAGCCGCGGUAAUUC
rnacentral:rRNA from 1 species